GAUGAACGCUAGCGGCAGGCCUAAUACAUGCAAGCCAAGGGCUGUUUGGUGUAGCACUCCAUCACACACCCGGCGGACGGGUGCGUAACGCGUAUGCAACCUACCCUAUACAGGAGGUUAGCCCUCGGAAACGAGGAUUAAUACUCCAUAAGAUUGCUUAGAGGCAUCUUUAAGCAAUUAAAGCCGCAAUGCGGUAUAGGAUGGGCGUGCGUCCGAUUAGUUAGGUGGUGAGGUAACGGCUCACCAAGGCGAUGAUCGGUAGGGGUUCUUAGAGGAAGAUCCCCCACACGAGCACUGAGACUCGCGCCCGAGUCCUACGGGAGGCAGCAGUAAUGAAUAUGAGACAGGGGGUGAAAGCCUGAUCCAGCCAUGCCGCGUGCAGGAAGAAGGCCCUAUGGGUGGUAAACUGCUUUUGAGAAGGAGAAAUAAGGGCGAGGCGUCGCUCGAUGAUAGUACUUUUCGAAUAAGCAUCGGCUAAGUUCGUG
rnacentral:rRNA from 1 species